rnacentral:rRNA from 1 species
UACGUAGGGUGCGAGCGUUGUCCGGAAUUAUUGGGCGUAAAGAGCUUGUAGGCGGUCUGUCGCGUCUGCUGUGAAAAUCCGGGGCUCAACCCCGGACUUGCAGUGGGUACGGGCAGACUAGAGUGUGGUAGGGGAGACUGGAAUUCCUGGUGUAACGGUGAAAUGCGCAGAUAUCAGGAGGAACACCGAUGGCGAAGGCAGGUCUCUGGGCCACUACUGACGCUGAGAAGCGAAAGCAUGGGGAGCGAACAGG